UACAGAGGUCUCAAGCGUUGUUCGGAUUCAUUGGGCGUAAAGAGCUCGUAGGCGGCUGUUCAAGUCGAUUGUGAAAACUCGGAGCUCAACUCCGAGCCUGCGUUCGAUACUGGACGGCUAGAGUCUGGUAGGGGGACCUGGAAUUCCUGGUGUAGCGGUGGAAUGCGCAGAUAUCAGGAGGAACACCGGUGGCGAAGGCGGGGGUCCUGGGCCAGUACGUGAACGCGUGAGGAGCGAAAGCGGUGGGGAG
rnacentral:rRNA from 1 species